rnacentral:lncRNA from 1 species
GAUUGGACUCACCGAGCCCUAAACAAACAGCGCUAGCCGAAGGGUGCCAGGCUGUGGGUCGGAACUGCUCUCUACAAGCUGCUGGGUGCGGAGCUCACAAAAGGGAUUUCUUUCGACAAGCUGGACAUUGGAAGAAGGCUGCGGGAAGGGAAUUGAACAUGAGAAACACUCUUGUGGGAGUGGAUUCUUACAGGAACACCCCAGUCACUGUGGCUUCAGCGUGGCUGCAUUUAUGAAAGACUGGAAGUAGAAAACUCUGGAAUGGAGAGACUAGCAGCUGGAACAGGAUUCGAAGGCUUUAAAUUUUAACCCGAGUUCGAUCGAAAGUUACUACCACAAGAGACUGGCACGGGCCGGCCCAAUUCCCACCACGGCUUCCAGCGGUUGUCCGCUAGGCAUCGAAGACUAGAGAACACACUGACCCUGGCGCCUCUAGGACAGAGGUGAGGAGUUCGACCCAAACGAACAGAUUCGACAACAUUCGGACUCUAGAGGCUGGGGAAGAAACCCAUAAUUUUACCCUCCUCAUUCCCAAUAAUUUUAGUAGUGCCUCCAACCACAAGAAAAACGAUAGAUCAUUGUUUUUCCUUUCAGGGCUCAAAAUUCACCUUUAAACUUUUUUUAAAGACUAGCUUUCCGAAAGAGGAAUAGGUUAGAGAAAUAUUUUUUUUCCAUCUCAGUUAAUGUAAAAAUAAAACCUGUCCGGUUGACUAAG